rnacentral:rRNA from 1 species
GACGAACGCUGGCGGCGUGCUUAACACAUGCGAGUCGAACGGAAAGGCCUCUUUCGGGGGGUACUCGAGUGGCGAACGGGUGAGUAACACGUGAGUAACCUGCCCUUGACUUUGGGAUAACUUCAGGAAACUGGGGCUAAUACCGGAUAGGAGCUCCUGCUGCAUGGUGGGGGUUGGAAAGUUUCGGCGGUUGGGGAUGGACUCGCGGCUUAUCAGCUUGUUGGUGGGGUAGUGGCUUACCAAGGCUUUGACGGGUAGCCGGCCUGGGAGGGUGACCGGCCACAUUGGGACUGAGAUACGGCCCAGACUCCUACGGGAGGCAGCAGUGGGGAAUAUUGCACAAUGGGUGGAAGCCUGAUGCAGCAACGCCGUGUGCGGGAUGACGGCCUUCGGGUUGUAAACCGCUUUCGCUCAUGACGAAGCUUUGUGUGACGGUAGUGGGUAAAGAAGCACCGGCUAACUACGUG